CUGCCAUGGAUGGGUGGGAUUUUGGGUCCUUUCCCCCAAAGCAUUCCAGGAUUCUGGGAUUUGCAAAGUUACUGGGGACAGAGUUAGGAGCUGAGUGUAGAAGAACAAGCCCUUGGUAAACACAAUACCUAAAAGGAGGCACGGAGGAGAUAAAAAGGAGUGAAAUACCAGAAGAAAGUGAUGUUGCACUGAGGUUUAUUUGAGGGACAGGAUGGUAUUUCCCCAGGACUGGAACAUCUGUCUGCAGUUGCCUUCCAGCACCAGCACGUGAAUUUGCAACUGAGUAAACCAAGGCUUAAACCAGCACAUGAACUUUGCAGUCAAAGAUUGUGGUGGGGUGGGAUGGAAGAACUGAAAAGGAAGGGCUUUAUUAAAUGCCUUGAGAUGUCAAUUCACAACUAUUUCAGCCUGGAUUAAAUUCCUUGUUAAGGACUAACCUCUGGAAGUGUCUCCUUUCUGCAACAUCUGCUCUGGAGGAGAGGCUUGGGCACUGGAGCUGGGAGGACCCUCUCGCCAGGCAGAGACAAACAGAUGGAGCCUGGGGAAGAUGCAGGAUUGAAAAUCACUGUGAUUUGGACCUCACUUGUAGAUCCUUAAUUUUCCUCCAGAGAAAACAGUCAGAUUGGAGCAGAGGCAUAAAAUAUCUCUGUGUGUAUGUGCCUUACUGAGUCAGAGCCUGGCCUGGAGCACUUCCUCUGCUCCUCCGGCCUCUCUUCAGCUGCAGAGAGCCCCAGCAAUGUCACCUGGUGUGAGUUCACUUCCACCAGUAAAUAAACUUGCCUUUCACAGUUAGAAUCACCAGG